GCUUUUAUCGAAAGUGGCGCACGGGUGCGUAACGCGUAUGCAACCUACCUUAAUCUGGGGGAUAGCCCGGAGAAAUCCGGAUUAACACCGCAUAAAAACACAGGAUAGCAUUAUCCAAUGUUCAAAUAUUUAUAGGAUUGAGAUGGGCAUGCGUGUCAUUAGCUAGUUGGCGGGGUAACGGCCCACCAAGGCGACGAUGACUAGGGGAUCUGAGAGGAUGGCCCCCCACACUGGUACUGAGACACGGACCAGACUCCUACGGGAGGCAGCAGUAAGGAAUAUUGGUCAAUGGAGGCAACUCUGAACCAGCCAUGCCGCGUGCAGGAAGACUGCCCUAUGGGUUGUAAACUGCUUUUAUCCGGGAAUAAACCUACUUACGUGUAAGUAGCUGAAUGUACCGGAAGAAUAAGGAUCGGCUAACUCCGUGCCAGCAGCCGCGGUAAUACGGAGGAUCCAAGCGUUAUCCGGAUUUAUUGGGUUUAAAGGGUGCGUAGGCGGCCUGUUAAGUCAGGGGUGAAAGACGGUAGCUCAACUAUCGCAGUGCCCUUGAUACUGAUGGGCUUGAAUGGACUAGAGGUAGGCGGAAUGAGACAAGUAGCGGUGAAAUGCAUAGAUAUGUCUCAGAACACCGAUUGCGAAGGCAGCUUACUAUGGUCUUAUUGACGCUGAGGCACGAAAGCGUGGGGAUCAAACAGGAUUAGAUACCCUGGUAGUCCACGCCCUAAACGAUGAACACUCGCUGUUGGCGAUACACAGUCAGCGGCUAAGCGAAAGCGUUAAGUGUUCCACCUGGGGAGUACGCCCGC
rnacentral:rRNA from 1 species